rnacentral:rRNA from 1 species
UAAGCCUACGGGGGGCAGCAGUGAGGAAUAUUGGUCAAUGGGCGCAAGCCUGAACCAGCCAAGUCGCGUGAGGGAUGACGGUCCUAUGGAUUGUAAACCUCUUUUGUCGGGGAGCAAGGCCCGCCACGUGUGGCGGGAAGGAGAGUACCCGAAGAAAAAGCAUCGGCUAACUCCGUGCCAGCAGCCGCGGUAAUACGGAGGAUGCGAGCGUUAUCCGGAUUUAUUGGGUUUAAAGGGUGCGCAGGCGGGCUGUUAAGCCGGCGGGAAAAA